CGGUUUUAAGUGUAAGUUACUCUGUUUAAUUUGCUUAGAGUUUGUUUGUAGAGUCACUUAUACUAAAAUGUAGUUUAAAUGUAAAAUGCUUAAAGAUAAUUGUAUAGUCACUAUUAACUAUUACUAUUGUCACAUGUAUAAUUGUUUGUUUUAGGACACACUUUGCCAUGCAGGCCACUGGAUGCUGACUACUGAAGGUUAGGUUGUGUGUGACGGUGCUCAGCACAGCUUCAUGUCUGGCCUUCCCACUCUGUUCAUAGCAUGUUACAUAUUCAGGCUUGAGUACCAGGAUGGGGCAAGCGUGUAUCUUUGAGUCCAAUGAAAGAUAUUAAUCCAGAGAGUGGAACAAGAAGCGUCAUCUAAAAUGCCAGGAUACAGAAGAAACAGGUUGCAGUGAACCCACAUGUCGCCGCUCUUCUAAACACAAUGAUGAAUAUUCAGUGUAAUCGAUGAAAAUUCCAGCUACUUGUUGUCCUCUGAUGGAUCAAGAUGUGGACCGUUUUACAGACUCACUUGGGCCUUGUUUUGCAAUGUUGUUUCAUGAUGGUAAUGUUGGUUAACGUGUUGUUUAAACAUGAAUGUUUAAAGAGCCAUGUUGGAUACUAUGAAGUUGUUACUGAAUAAAAUUAUUUCAUGUACAACAACGUACACAAUUUGUCUGUAAUGUAUUUUUGUAUCAAUUAAAAAAAAAUAAACACUGUAUAUCCAGUAUGCAAAACAUACUGGAUAUACAGUGAUUUAUGUAUUUCUUCUAAAUAAAGUAAAUUAAAAUCAAGCAAUUUGCUGUAAAAAAUACAGCAUUAUACUGUUGCUAUUCAAAAUUACAGUUUUUCCUGUAUUCUGCAAUUACAGUAAAUGGCUGUAAAUUAAAUUACAGUACUGUGGCUGUACAAUUUACAGUAACUGGCUGGCAACCCUGCUGCCAGUAGUUUA